UACCAGGGACUGAGUUUUAUAUAUGUUAGC
rnacentral:piRNA from 1 species